GCGCCCUUAGCUCAGUUGGUAGAGCAGUCCCUUUACACGGGAAAGGUCGGGGGUUCAAGUCCCUCAGGGCGCA
rnacentral:tRNA from 1 species